rnacentral:ncRNA from 1 species
AAAAUGGUGAUGAUAGGAAGAGUAAAUAUAAUUGGAUUUUUAGAGAGUAGGGAUAGGUGAAAGCCCAACAUGAAGAUUACAUUGAAGAACAUCCUUGAACAGUUAACUGAAAGCAUUUAAUUAUGUUAGUAGGCUUAAACGGGUGUCUACCGUUAAAAAGACAGGGUAUUGAUAAAAAAGUUAUUUGUACCUGUAAAAGAGAACAUUUUAUAUGUUAAGUAGGAUGGUACCGCGAAGGUUUAACCCCGUUCCUAUA